rnacentral:rRNA from 1 species
ACAAAGUCGAGUCGGUUUAAGGAUACGUUCGUUGGGUAGGGGAGCGUUCUGUAAGCCUGUGAAGGUGUGUCGUGAGGCAUGCUGGAGGUAUCAGAAGUGCGAAUGCUGACAUAAGUAACGAUAAAGCGGGUGAAAAGCCCGCUCGCCGGAAGACCAAGGGUUCCUGUCCAACGUUAAUCGGGGCAGGGUGAGUCGACCCCUAAGGCGAGGCCGAAAGGCGUAGUCGAUGGGAAACGGGUUAAUAUUCCCGUACUUGGUGUUACUGCGAAGGGGGGACGGAGAAGGCUAUGUUGGCCGGGCGACGGUUGUCCCGGUUUAAGCGUGUAGGUGUGUGUUCCAGGUAAAUCCGGUUCACUUUAACACUGAGGCGUGACGACGAGGCACUACGGUGCUGAAGCAACAAAUGCCCUGCUUCCAGGAAAAGCCUCUAAGCAUCAGGUAACAUCAAAUCGUACCCCAAACCGACACAGGUGGUCAGGUAGAGAAUACCAAGGCGCUUGAGAGAACUCGGGUGAAGGAACUAGGCAAAAUGGUGCCGUAACUUCGGGAGAAGGCACGCUGACACGUAGGUGAAGUGAUUUACUCAUGGAGCUGAAGUCAGUCGAAGAUACCAGCUGGCUGCAACUGUUUAUUAAAAACACAGCACUGUGCAAACACGAAAGUGGACGUAUACGGUGUGACGCCUGCCCGGUGCCGGAAGGUUAAUUGAUGGGGUCAGCGCAAGCGAAGCUCCUGAUCGAAGCCCCGGUAAACGGCGGCCGUAACUAUAACGGUCCUAAGGUAGCGAAAUUCCUUGUCGGGUAAGUUCCGACCUGCACGAAUGGCGUAAUGAUGGCCAGGCUGUCUCCACCCGAGACUCAGUGAAAUUGAACUCGCUGUGAAGAUGCAGUGUACCCGCGGCAAGACGGAAAGACCCCGUGAACCUUUACUAUAGCUUGACACUGAACAUUGAGCCUUGAUGUGUAG